GAAAGCUAUUGCUUGUAGAUGAGUCCGCGUCUCAUUAGCUUGUUGGUAGGGUAACGGCCUACCAAGGCGACGAUGAGUAGCUGGUCUGAGAGGAUGAUCAGCCACACUGGAACUGAAACACGGUCCAGACUCCUACGGGAGGCAGCAGUGGGGAAUAUUGGGCAAUGGGCGCAAGCCUGACCCAGCAACGCCGUGUGAGGGAUGAAGGUCUUCGGAUUGUAAACCUCUGUCAGAAGGGACGAAGCAAGUGACGGUACCUUCAGAGGAAGCCACGGCUAACUACGUGCCAGCAGCCGCGGUAACACGUAGGUGGCGAGCGUUAUUCGGAUUUACUGGGCGUAAAGGGUCCGCAGGGGGUUUGCCAAGUCCGGUGUGAAAGUCCAGGGCUCAACCCUGGAACUGCGCCGGAUACUGGUGAACUGGAGUGCGCGAAGGGCAGGCGGAAUUCCUGGUGUAGCGGUGGAAUGCGUGGAUAUCAGGAAGAACACCGACGGCGAAAGCAGCCUGCUGGCGCGCCACUGACCCUCAUGGACGAAAGCGUGGGUAGCGAACAGGAUUAGAUACCCUGGUAGUCCACGCCGUAAACGGUGCAGACCCGAUGCGGGGGGCAGCCCCCUCCGUGUCCAAGCCAACGCGUUAAGUCUGCCGCCUGGGGACUACGGUCGCAAGGCUAAAACUCAAAGGAAUUGACGGGGGCCCGCACAAGCGGUGGAGCAUGUGGCUCAAUUCGAGGCAACGCGAGGAACCUUACC
rnacentral:rRNA from 1 species